CUCCUCCUGGAUAGAUCUUGUCUAGUCCUUCACCAAGUGGCCCUCCACCAACUCUGUAUCCUUCUAUUAAGCCCAUAAGUACGACUUGGCUGGCCCAGAUUGCAAGGAUGCUUUGGGCGUGGAUGAGGUUUGGGUUGCCAAGAUAAUCAAGUCCACCUUCAGAGAAGAUUUGGGCACCAGCCUUGAACCAGACAGCUUCACCAAAUUUGACACCAUUCUUCGAGAGGAUUUCCGGGAAGACGCAACCCAAAGCACCAAGCAUAGCCCAUCUACAGUGGAUCACUUCUAACUCACGGUUCUUGGCAAAUGUCUCUGGGUCAGCUGAAAGCCCAGCAGUGUCCCAUCCGUAAUCACCAGGGAACUCACCAGUCAGGUAUGAUGGAGUUUGUUCAGAGAAUGGGCCCAAGUACUUGGGCCUAUCAGGUCCAUACCUGUUGUAUCACUCAAAAACUCAAGUUCUUAAAUGUUGACAUGAUAACAUACAAAGUAGCUGGAAAGGCACACUCUAGAGGUGUACAAUUUUUUUUUUGAAAAAAAAAAAGAAGUUGUCAUUAUUUUUUUGAAUUUGAUCGUAACUUACUGGGAGUUAAUAAGAAAUAAUACUAGAAGGUAUGGAAAUUAAGAAUUAUUGGAAGUGAUUGAUAGUUGUGUGGUGUUAAAAUCUUAAUCAUAUAAGAAUAAAAGUGGAAAGACACAAAGCGAGAAAAAGUUCUUACAUCAACUACCAAGCAUCAUAGGAAGAUAUGAAAGCAGGAGUACUUACUGAUUCUCAGAAAAUUCAAAGCCUUGGUCAUUAAGGAUAAACAAAAGAAAAACUAUGGUAAUUUUAUGGGAUGUUUUUGAAAACUUCUGCUAUAGUUACUUUUAUUUGAGAUGGUGCCCGCACAUGAAAAUGUGAAUAGAGAAAGUGUUAAAAGUUUUCUGAAAACAUAGUAUUUUUUUUUUAAAAAAAAACCCAAAAUAGCUAAUACAAACAUUCUAACAUGAAUAAUUAACAUUUUUCAUAUGCUAGAAUUGCUGAAAUAGAUAUAGUCUGCAUUGGGAUGCAAUAGCUGUAUCAAGAAGUGCUAAUAUGAGCUUAUUUCUUUUUCUUAGAAAUGCUGAGAGCAAUCUUACAGGAGGAACAGGGUGCGAGGAAGAAAGAGUAAGCACAUAUUAAAAUAAAAAAUAAAAAAGAGGAAUCUUAAAACAGUUCAAUAGAUAAAAAGAAUGAAAAAUGUGAAACAUAUUCCUAUUAUUAGUGCCACAAGAGUAAAGUUGCAUGCUUAGAUCAAAUAGACACGCAUCUUCUAUAUUCUGAAUUAUUAAUUAGACAAACAGUCUAAUGACUAAUUGAUACAAGUAAAUAAUGCACAUGAUGUGUAAACUAGUAACAAAAUGUACAAUUAACGAGACAAUUAUCAAUUCAGAGCUCAGCGCCUAUUAUCUCAAAUCUAAAGACAAAUAAAAGAUGAUAAAUAUACAAUUGUAGUAGUUACCAAAUGCUUUGGGGUGCACUUUUGACCGUACGUCUCAUGGAAAAACGGCCACCUCCAAAGCUCCCAACCUUCCUCAGAAGCUCAUUCUGAGGCUUCAAAGCUGUCUGACCAGCAAAUGCAGACUGUUGGAUGCCUGAAGUUGCCAUUACUUUGAUUUUCGAGAUGAAUUGAGCUUUUGUGAUGUUCAAGGGAUUUUGGACUUUGGUAGAGUAGGAUGUGUAAUGAUGCAAAGAAGCUCAUGAAUAUAUACAAAUUGUUUCAAAUAUUGAAUGUGCCAAAUGGUAAGUAUUCUGGAUUACGAUAUCUACACCUCAGCAGCAUUUGAUUGGUUAAGGCAUUGAUUUGUGAUUUCCUCUGUGAUUUUUCUAGGGACAGAGAGGCCACUGUUUUGCCAUGUGGAUCACAAAAAUCUCGCUGCUGAGAGAUAUCAGCUGGCGACCCUCAAGAGACUCCAAGCCACAAAAAUACUUUGUGUACUGAUAGACUUCAAGUACCUUGGUUUUUAAGAAAACUUAAAUCAAAAAACAAAAGGAUAAUUUCGAAUCUUCACUAAGGUUCCAGACAAUUUUAUUUGGCACCAAUUUAAAUGCAAAUUUCGUUUAAAAUCAAUUUCAUCUAUUUUUCAAUUUAAAAAAUUUAAAAAGUCUUGUAUUCUAUUUCCUUAUAAUUAAACAGUUCAAAAUGAAUUAUUCAUCUGUUAUAAUCACAAAUUCACAUGUUGAUUAUUUGGACAUUCUUUUGUUCCUUUUUCCUCGAACUGAGUUUUGCUGAUUAGAUCUUUUCUUUGCUAUUUUUAAAAAUGAUCAAUUGUUAGUAUAUUAUCUGAUAUCCUCUUAUGUGAAACUUACCACCAUCAUUUAGAGUGGCCGAAAUUGAACCACAAGUUGAAACUCAUUGGAAAAAGGAAGAUGGAUAUUUCAAAAUGAAAAUUUUGCAUAGUACAGGAGUAUAAAUAGAAUCUUAGGGAAAUAAAUUGUGAUUAACCCUUUUAUUUAAAUCAAUCAAGUAUAAAUAGAAUCUAAUAGUGGUUGAAAUUUCCCUUUUAAUGUCUCUUGUUUCUUUUUUAUAUUGUUUUUUAUUAGUUGUAUUUAUAAGGUAACUGUGUAUUGAAACAAAGCACAAGAAUUGGUUUAUCAUAAAUAAUUUUAAUAAGAGUAUUUAAUGGGGAUAAAAAAAAAUAAGUUAAAUGUGUUGGGGCAAAGGAAUGCUUAGCUUUAGUUAAACAAAUAAAUACACAUAUAAUUUGCACAAUUUGUGGAGGUGGGGCUCCUUAAUAUGUACUAAAAUAUCAGUAUCUCUAUCAUUGGUAUAUUUAUAUGGUUUGCCUGUUAUGUAUUUUCAUCGUUAAAUUUCAAAUGGAACACUCUCUCCACUAUCAAUCUUGCUCUUACUGUAAAAGCCUUCUAGUUCUAGGCGUAAUAGUCCUUUAGGUUGCCACAGCUUUAGUACAACUAGGCCAUGGCUUGACUAAAAAGCAAGGAGGAUUGUCAACAGAUAUAAAUGUUGAUAAAUUUUGAUCAUUCACACAAAAAAUUUGGACGUACGUAAUUCAAAAACAACUGAUACAUAUUGAUCAAAGUGGCAACUAAUUGAAUAUUAUAUUUCUAUUACAAAAUUAAAUAAGUUAUUUAUAAUGGAUUACAAUUUCUCUAUAACCGGCAACUGCUCCCACCUCUUUUCUCUAUGGCCAUUUUUAUUUUAGUAUAAAUAUUGAAUAAAAUAGAAUGAAACAAGAUUCGUACAAUAUCGCUUUUGCUUCUAUUGUCGAUGUUGGCCUUCCCACUUCCUCCUUCUACUCAAUUAUAGAAAAUAAAUACAAAAUUAAAAAUUUCUAUGUUAUAGAAAACAAAUUUAAAAUUGAAAAAAAACCCAAUGCCACACCACGCAUCAUGCUCCUAUUGAAUCUACAUCUACACAAUUUUGCUAAGGGAUCGUGAGCCCAAAAAGCGAAGUUUAGCCCCUUACAUUUAAAUGUACUAAUUAAAUGGGACGAUCAUGAGCCCAAAUUGCGAAGUUUAGUCUCUCACAUUUAAAUGUAUCAGUUAAAUGGGACCUCACGCGUUGCGCGAGGUUGCCCAGAUAUGCUCUUGAAUUCUUGUAAUGGCAAUGACCUAAUGAGACCAUCAAGUGAUGCAAUUCUGGAUGGAUUAAGGGCGAACAAUAUUGUAUGUAAAUAAAAUCUAUCAUAGGAAGCUGAACAAAAUAAUGUAUAAUUGUUUUGCACUUCCUUUAUAUCUUGGAAUGGAGAUAUUGUAGGCCCACAAAAUAAUCAAUAUAAGCCACAAGCAUUUCUCGAUUGAAUGAAACCACAAGAAACAAAAUAAAUUCUAAGACCAAAAGACGAAACAGGAGAAACAGAAUUGGAUGCUUUUUAUUAUCUCUUUGAAUCUUUUCUUUCUGUCUUACAUCGAUAGACCAAAAGCUUUGGUCUUUAUAUAAGACUAUCAAGUACCAAAAUUCUAUUGGGAUUUAAACUACCAAAACAUACUAGUAAUAGAAAAUCACAACUAAACAACAAAAUAAAUAGUUUCCUAAAUAAAACAAACUAAAUCCUAAAAAGACUUGGUUUAAUGAUCUUACAUUGCCUCCCUUAAACCAAUAUUUUCAAAUUGCGUCAUACCAAACAUCGUCUUCAACUUGAGAAAUAGCUCCACCUUCAAUGGUUUCGUGAAAAUGUCUGCCACUUGAUCUUCACUCUAACAAUAGUCAAUGGCAAUUUUCUGAUCUUAAACUCAUUCACGAAUGAAGUGAAACUUGAUAUCAAUGUGCUUACUCUGUACAUGAAACAUUGGAUUCUUUGACAACUCAACCAUUGAUAACCAUUGAAAUUUUCGUGAUACCGUAGAAACAUUGGAUUUUCUACGGCAUGAACAAGUUGGUCCUACCAAAUUCUAUUGUUCAUGCUGUAGGACCAACUUGUUCAUGCCGUAGAAAAUCAAGCAUUCUUCUCAACCAUAAUGCUUGAGUAGCACUGUGUAUAGCUACCACAUACUUCGCUUCUGCUGUAGAUAAUGCCACCAUUUGUUGUUUCUUAGAAAACCACGAAAAUAUACCAUUACCCAGAUAAAAAGCAUAGUUUGAUAUGCUUAUCCUUUGAAUCAUGUCACUAUCCCAAUCACUGUCUGUAAAGCCAACAAAACUAGAAUUGUUAGCAUAUGGAUAAAAGAUAUCAUCAGAUUGUGUACCUCUAAUAUAUCUUAAAAUCCUCUUGGCCGCUUGCCAAUGUCAUUGGCAUGAAGACUCCAUAAACCUACUAAUUAACUCAACAUCAAAAGUAAUGUCAGGCUUUGUCGACGUCAACUCUCUCAGUUUUCCAAACAAUCUCCUAAAAUUAGUGGUAUCAACAAAUUCACCAUUGCCAUCUUUCACCAACUUCAACUUCUCUUUAACUGGAGUUAAUAUUGGCUUGGCAGUAUCUAUCUGAAACCUCUUCAAUAUGUUACCUGCAUAGUUCUUUUGUGUAAUAAAUAUGCCAUCAUCUGUUUGAAAAACCUCAAUGCCAAGAAAAUAUCUCAAAGUGACUAAUCAUAUAUUAGUUAUCUUGAACUCAGAAAUCACCUUGGAAUUAUUGCCAACAAAAAUUAAAUCAUCCACAUAUAAGUAUACAAUAAGAAUAUCACCACCGGGAUUGAACUUGAUAUACAUAAUAUGCUCAUAUGGAUAUUUAUGAAAUCCAUUCCCAACAACGUAAGAGUCGGUACAAGUAUACCAGGCUCGAGAAGCUUGUUUCAAACUAUAUAGCCUUUUUUAACCUGUAGACUUUAUUUUCUUGGCCUUCACAUAACUUGCAGGUUGUUCAACGUAUAAUUCCUUCCAGAGAAUACCAUUCAAGAAAGCAGAUUUCACAUCCAUUUGAAAAUCUUCCAAGAAUUAUUGAUAGCAAUAAAUAUAAUCAUGCGAAUAGUAUCAAGUCUGGCAACUGGAGCAAAAAUUUCAAAAUAAUCAAUACCUAUCUUUUGCUUAUAUCUUUUAACCACCAAUCUUGCCUUGUAACGAUCUAUCUCUCCAAUUGGCUUGUACUUGGUCUUGUAGACCCACUUGAUACUAAUUAGCUUCUUCCCAUAUGGAAGUGUGUGACGACCCCACCUCCCCCUAAGGCGUACCAAAGGAUUCGGCGGACCGCCUGCCCAACUCUCGCCAGGACUCACUCACUCGUAUCACGUGCAUACAUCCAUAGACAAUAAAUAACAUCGCAAUUCAAUCUUAUAAUUUACAUCGAUGCACAAUCAAGAUACAAAGCCUCAAUAUACCCAAACUGGUUCGAAGUGUAUACAAUCCAAGUACAAAUCAUUCUAAUCGAGUGAUAGCGCGAGUACAAGUCAAAAGGAAAAAACAACUAGCUACGCUAGUCUUUACACAUCUCAUGUCUCGCUCGUACCCCUGUAAGGAAAACAAAACUAAUGGAGUGAGCCAAAACUCAGUGAAGUUCCAAAUAUCAAAUUGGCCAUUAAGUAAAGUAAUAACAGUGUGAUAGUGAAAUAGCGAGCAAACAAGUCAAAUCAGAGAGAUAACACUUCAGAUAGACAAGAAAUAUCUGGUUCACAUUCACAUGUAAGGAUACAAUGGCUCAUAUCUCAGCUCCAUCCCAGCUUGAUCGAUUGGUAGUUGACACUCCGUCAACUUUCAAGUAAUAAACUAGUCCAAAAAAAAAAUCCCACUUCACGGCAGUUUCCGUCCACCGAUCAACCCCCUUUUUUGGGCCCGCACGCCACACGAAACAUGGGUGGUAAUACUCGAGUAUACCGAUUAGCCGAGGAGAUAACACUCCACUCGAUAUCACUAGUUACCCAGGGUUCGUUAUCUAAUCGACCUGACCCUUGCAGCUCGACUCGAUUAACUAGCCAUAGGGUUUCUGGAAUUCCAGGCAAGAUACAAUUUAUACACAUGUAUAGCAAGUCAAGUGAAAUCGAUGAACAAGAACAAAUCUCGUUAGGGCAAGUGCGAUAAAGUACACCCUUGCCCUAUCACAUCACUUAUAUAUCAUGCAAUCAUAUCGGUCAAAGAUAAAUCACAAAUAUCAAGCUCAAUCAGAUAUUUGGAAGCACUCACCAAAAGUAGUGCCUCUAGUGUUCGCGUUUGGGUUGUACUCCGGGUUUAGAGUCCAAAUCUGCGAUAAAACUUGAUUUAAGAACUUUGAAAAUCGACUAAGGUUCGAAACUUAGACGUUUCGUUUAAUAAGAAUCAAGAAAUUGAAAUUCACUUGGAGAGUAGUCGUGAAACACUUGCUCGCUUUUUAAACUAUAAAACUUUGUAACAUUUAUACUUUGAAAUGCCAUUUGAGUCGAAAGUACAAGGAAAACAUACUCCGAGCAGUCAUUAUUUUAUUUCCCAAGGGUACAAGUUCGGCCAAGUUCUUACUUAUAUACCUCGGUAAAAGAAGACGCAAAUAUCCUAGAUAGCUCAAGUAGUAAUCACUCUUAACCCUUACUCAAGUUGCAAGUAUGUCUGCCUAGCCUUUGAGCGUAAAUUUGGGUAGCAUGCCCUUUGUAUUUUCCUAUUUCAGCCAUUUAUGGCUUAAUUCUUUUCCUCAAUCAAACCCAAGGUUACACACAAAACAAUCUCAUUUCAAUAGCCAUUCAAUAGGCUCAAGGUAAUACAAGUACAAAAUCAAGCUAACAACAAGUGCGGAAAUGAGGUUUAGCAAAAGACAGAUUUGACAUGAUUUUUUGUAAUGGACACAACCGAAGCUACGCUUAUCGGAUUGGGAUGCAAUUUAUCCCGUUUCGAAGCUAAGACAAAGGGUACAAUUUUUAUGAAGACCACUUAGUCCAAAUUCCAGUGUAACCCAGUCAAAUUCCCAAUUCACAGAACCAAAUUCCAACUAAUCGGCUAGUUAACCAUACUACCUUCAAAUGGCCAUAUCUCAAGCUACCAGAGUCCGUUUAAGACGUUCUUCGAGGCAUUAAAAAGAUAAGACAACGUACUAAAACUUUCAUGUUUUGACUAAAAGCUAGUUCAGUACAUAUCUAGGUGAACAAAUGCAACCAACUUAGUGUACUGGCAAAACUGUCCGCUGGUUUUACUCCUAGGGUAGUCAGGGUAUUUUCAUCUUUUCAUAGGCUACGUUACUCUGAUUGAGCUGAAAUUUUGUAGGAAACCAUAAAAUAUCAUUCCCUACGACUUUCAUGUUUUGUGCUAAGCCUAAUUAGGCCUCUAACAUGAUGAAAUGGAACCGGACAGAACUGAAACUAAAUUUUCCAGAAAUCUGGAAUUUUUGUUAUUUCAAGCUAUAAUUCACAUUUCCACCUUGAAACUACCACUACUAUCACCUUCACAAGAUCAUAUACCAUAUAUAUACAUCAUACCACACCUAACCCACAAGAAACCUUAACUCAAAAGUCAUCCAUCUAAUCAUAAAAAUUACUUGAAACAAGCAUCACAAACACAAUACCUGUGACGCCCCCACUUCUCCCUAAGGCGAACCAAAGGGUAUCCGCGGGACGCCUGCCCAGCUCUCGCCAGGACUCAAGCAAUUUUCGUCCAAGCUUAAUACAACACUAGACGUUACGAUUAAAUACUAUAAAUACAAUCAGUGCGUAAGCUUUCAAGCUUAUCAAUAUUGAACAUCUGCCCAAUCAUUACAUCGAAAUCUCGAAAUACAUCAAUAUUCAAAAUAUACAUCAAUCACAAGUCUAUCCCCAACGUGUAACGGAAACCCUAAAACAAGAGUACGCCAAGAGGGGUUUCUCCAACAUUUCUCCAAGUCCAAUCCUGUUAAGGAAAACAAAUCUAUAGGGUGAGCUAACGCUCGUGAGGCCAAGAACACACAUGCAAGCACUUAGUCAAAUAACAAUCCCAAAUUUAAUAAAUAAAGCCAUGUCUUUUCAAUAAUCAAUCAAUCAAACAUGAAAGGUAAUCAGAAACAAUUCAAGGAUAUAGUAGCUCUCAGGAGCUAAGUUCCACUCGAUCUGCCGUUGUCAUUCGUAUACCUUCCCGCAUUGACCCUCCUGUCAACCGGGUGUGUAUUUCCAUUUCCGUAGAUCACCACUUACUUUCCUCCGUCCACCGUACACCCCAAGGGCCCACAAGUCUAUUAUUGGGCGAUACUCUACGAGUAUGCCAAGCAAGACCUCUUAUUAGGUCGAGCUUAUGUGUAUCUCAUGGCUCGCCCCAGUCCCCGACCAAGCCCAUUACCGGCUCGAGUCUAAGGUUGGCCUAUGAGUUUGGGCGUCCCCCAUUCAUUUGAAGGUCGAGGAGGUUCACUCCAACGACACAAGCAUUCAUGACAUAACAUUGCAUUUCAUUCAUUCAUUCAAUACAUUCCAUUCAUUCAUUCGAAAUUAGAACGAGUGCGAUAAAGUACGCACCCGCCCUUAUUUUUAAAACUUUCAACAAAUACCACAAUUAAACAAGUAUCAAAAUUCACACACUUGACACUCACCGAGCAAUUCAAUAAGAAUUAUUUUCUGGGAGUUCAAGUGUCCGCGGUGAGAUCCUCUUGAAGGUCUCCUUGCGCGCCUGGCAAUUUAAUAGCGAAUAAUCAUACAAUUAACCCACUUAUCAAGAAGAUUGUACAUUAGUACAAUCUAAGGAUUAUUUCGCAAAAAGGAACCUCAAUUACACGUAAAUCGAGGUACAACUUGCCUUUUAUUAUGUACAAUAAUAUUUGAGUUUUUAUCUUGAAGAUCGUAAGCAAAACGUUUAAGAAUAUCAAAAGAACAAAGAGUUUUUGAAAAACUCUAUUUCUUUGGAAUUGGAAAAUUUUUCAGUUUUAUGUUGAAUCUUUGAAAAAUCAUAACUCGCUCGGUAUAAGUCGAGAAUUGGAAAACUUUAUACCGUUGGAAACCUCUUAGAGAGUACUAUAAGUUCCUAGAAGACACUUGUCCAUGAAUUGAAGUGAAAAGUGGUCAAAAAUGAGCUUGAAGACGCAGGGUCGGUUUUCAUGGCAGAAUUAAGUUGGAUUUCGGCCAACUUUGAAAAUUCGGCACGAUUCACACGUUGCAAACCGGCCUCUGAAAUUUGCAGUUCAAUUAGGGUUGCAAGUGAGGUGUAUGACAAAACAAGCGGAUCAAGAAUCGGAGUUUCGAGCACCGAGAUACGGUAGCCCGAAGUUGAGCAAAUUCAAGACUGGAUGAGAAUUUUCCAGAUUUGAACCUCUAACUUUAGUAAUUCAAUUGGGUAUCGAAACGAACUUGAAUUGGCACCAAAAUUGGCAGUAUUUCAAUACUAUAUGGAAAGUAUCUCUCUAUCGAAUUUCGGGGAAAAAUACCUUCGGCAAGGUAGUUAAUUAGCCCACCAAAGUUCAAGAAAAAUCCUAAGGCAAUCUGCCUUUGACUUGCAUUUCCCAAAUUUCCAAUCGUUUAACCAAGAAAGUUAUCCAACCAUGGUUCAUUUGUGAAAUAAGGGUCUAAGAUACACCCAUAAUAUCUUUGGUAAGUGUUUAAUAUCAAAAACAUCAACUAACAAGUUCACUCCAAGAUUUGGUUCCAAACCAGUCCAAACAUUAGGGUUUUCCAAAACAGAGCAGUCCACUUGUUUCAGUCACAAAUCAGUCAAUAUAGCUCGAAAUCGAGCAUGGCUUAUGCCGUUGGAAAAUACAUUCAUAGGACUAAAAUAUCACAGAAGAAAUCAUUUCCAAAUUCGGCACCCAACUGGUUCAAAUUCGGCCAUCAAGUUGCUGCCUGACCACUUCAUUCCAGACGAACAGAGCAACAGGACAGUGAACUUAAAACAUUUGGUUCGGCUUUCUCACAAGGAAUCAGAACGUGCAUUUUAUACCAAAUUAAAGCUAGGAAUGUCUAGUUUCAAACUCCACCGACGGUACAUGAUUUCGACAUCCGAGGACAGAGUUAUAGCCAAAAUACUACUGCUGGUCAGAGUCAUACGCGAAUCAGUUUCCAGAUUUGCUGGUUUCUAAAAAAAAUUCAUUUGCCCAUUCAAACCUCAUUAUUUUUCAAUGAAAUUUUCCACACCUCUAAUACAUCAUAUAAGCAUCCAGUUCAAGCCAUUAGUUCAUUAAAAACUGGCCUUAAAAUGGCCGAAUAAAACAGGGGUAGAAUCGGAAGUUUUUGCUUCUUACACCCAAUGAAGUUCCUACUAAUUACCCACCACUAAUGCAUCAUUAUAAUCACUAAACCCACAAUAUAAUCACCAUUAAUUAUCACAUCAGCAACAACAACCCAAGUGUGGGAAUUCCAAGAGCCCACAAUCACAUUUUUAUACCAUAAACAAGUAACUAAGUGCAUGCAUGAGCUUAAUCUUGCCAUAUAAUCUCCAAAAGAUAAGAAUCCAUGGGUUGAUCAUUACCUACUCCUUUGGUUUGCAAGGUCAGAAUUUUCGGCCCUCUUGAAGCUCCAAGAAACCGUGAAAAACUCCUCCUUUUUCUAGCUAGAUGAUCUCUCCAAGUGACAAGCUAAGUGUAGUUCAAAUUUGGUGUGAAUCCAUGAAGUUUUUGUGCAAGAAUUGAAGAUGAAAAUGACAUCUUGGUGUUGUUCUUUUUUGCUGCUGAUAAUCGGCCAAGAGAGAGACUAAGAGAGAGAGUGUUUGGUCCAAAUUUAGCUUCUUAAGGAAGACACAAUGUGUGGUGCAAAAAUCAUCCCCAAAGUCAACUCUCACUAGGGUGCGUUUGGGCGCGUUUCGGCUCGAUUUCUCGCGCGUUUGGUUCACUAGUGCACUAAACCUCUAAUGCACUUAUAUUCAGGUAAAUAUUAUUCACUCUUGAUUGUCCCAAAAUAAGGGUCUAAAGUCUCUCAAAUAAAGUCGCGCGUGUGAAAACGUGUACCGUCAAUUUUAACGCUAUAACGCGAAACUUCCGAGAAUUUCUUAUAACGAUUGUACUACUAACUAUCACUUGAGUAUUUAUUCAUAAUAUUUCCUAUUUUAGAACCAUAGUACGAGUCUCCAUUAUUCCAAGCUUAUUGCACUCUCAAGCGGAUAAAAUCUCCAAGCACUAUUCACUAUUUUUACUAAACGCGCUCCCGGAAAUUAAUUCUUGAAACAAGUCACUUUUUAAAAAAAUAUAACGAAGCUAUAUUUCCACGUAAUUAAGUUCAAUAGGUCUAGAAAAUAAUACUUGGAAUAAAUGAACAAGUAAAUAAUUAAAUAAGCUCAAAUUAGGGUUUUAAUAGGAGUUUUUUUUUUUUGAGUCCUCACAUGAGUCGAGUAUUAACUCCUCAAAUCUCCAAUAAAUUUGUAUCCAUGCGUCUUUUGGAAAACUAUCCACGCGUGAGUAGUAUAUGCUCACUUAGAACUUAUUCACCUUUAAUUCUCGAUUAACUUUUCUUAAUCUGCUAUUGUCCGUUCUUAAUUUCCUCAGGAUAAUCAUACCCUCGAAUAUAAUAUCACCUUGAAACACUCGCGUUCGUUAUUUCUCACCUAAACAAUCCUUCCGAAAAUUGAAGUUGUUAACGGGACAUUUCAAAAACAUAAUGAAGACAUUAUUCCAUACGAAUGGAUUUAAAAUGGUCGUAAUAAAUUAUUUGGGGAAAACAGGUGGAUAAAUACUUAAUUAAACCAUUAAUAUUUGAUAAAAUAAGAAAUUUUUCGGGUCUUCACAAUACCAACAUUAAUACCCAACUUAAUCAUGAUUAAUGGAGAAAGAAUGGUUGAUCAGCCAUUAUACCUCAAGACAAGAGCUUGCUAGGAUGAUCCUUCAUCUCUCCUUGAAAUUCUUGGUUCCUUAAGCUUCCCCAAGCUUCCAACUAGUGAUUAAUCGGUUUAGUUUUUCUUGGUUGCACUCAAAUGGUUGGAUUCAAGGUAGAAGAUGGAAAACUCUCUUCACUCUCUUGCUCCUCUUGCUCUCAGCCAAAAAUAGAAAGAAAUGAGGGAAAAAUGAACUCAAAUGGAAGAUAAGAAGGUGAGACUUGGCU
rnacentral:lncRNA from 1 species